UGUGGCCUUGAGCCGUGGCUUUCGGAGCUAACGCGUUAAGUAGACCGCCUGGGGAGUACGGUCGCAAGAUUAAAACUCAAAUGAAUUGACGGGGGCCCGCACAAGCGGUGGAGCAUGUGGUUUAAUUCGAUGCAACGCGAAGAACCUUACCUACUCUUGACAUCCAGAGAACUUUCCAGAGAUGGAUUGGUGCCUUCGGGAACUCUGAGACAGGUGCUGCAUGGCUGUCGUCAGCUCGUGUUGUGAAAUGUUGGGUUAAGUCCCGCAACGAGCGCAACCCUUAUCCUUGUUUGCCAGCGAGUAAUGUCGGGAACUCCAGGGAGACUGCCGGUGAUAAACCGGAGGAAGGUGGGGACGACGUCAAGUCAUCAUGGCCCUUACGAGUAGGGCUACACACGUGCUACAAUGGCGCAUACAGAGGGCGGCCAACUUGCGAAAGUGAGCGAAUCCCAAAAAGUGCGUCGUAGUCCGGAUUGGAGUCUGCAACUCGACUCCAUGAAGUCGGAAUCGCUAGUAAUCGUGGAUCAGAAUGCCACGGUGAAUACGUUCCCGGGCCUUGUACACACCGCCCGUCACACCAUGGGAGUGGGCUGCAAAAG
rnacentral:rRNA from 1 species